rnacentral:lncRNA from 1 species
GAGUUUUUCCUAGCCACCGUGCUUCUACACCUACAUUGCUUGCUGUUUGGGGUUUUAGGCUGGGUUUCUGUACAGCACUUUGAGAUAUCAGCUGAUGUAAGAAGGGCUAUAUAAAUAAAUUUGAUUUAAAAUAAGGGUUAAAUAAAAAAAUAAAAAAUCUGCAAAUAUACUGUCCUUGUAGCAGGGACAACAGAAACAAACAUCAUUCUUGGUUCUUGGAUCUGAAUCAACUCGACCCCAAAAGAGAAAAAGAAGCGAGAAAAAGACUGCUCCUGACCAAACCAGAUAAACAUUGGAAUUAAUUUUUUAAGAGUAACACUGAAAUGGCCACUGUUCUUAUGGACUGGUAGGGAGAUACUGUUGGAGAGUCUGAUUUCGAGAGAACAUGAAGCUGUACAAGUUGUGGUUGUGAAAAAACUGAGAGCACAAACCGACCCAGUGAAUUUCCAUUGUUUGGAGUGUACCCAAGUGGAAUGUUGGGGCCUUGACAUUAUUUUGUUAAAUGCAUGUUACAGAAAAGAG